GGACCCGCACAAGCGGUGGAGCAUGUGGUUUAAUUCGAAGCAACGCGAAGAACCUUACCAAAUCUUGACAUCCCGAUGACCGGCAUUUAAUUUUGCCUUUUCUUCGGAACAUCGGUGACAGGUGGUGCAUGGUUGUCGUCAGCUCGUGUCGUGAGAUGUUGGGUUAAGUCCCGCAACGAGCGCAACCCUUAUCUUUAGUAGCCAGCAGUUCGGCUGGGCACUCUAGAGAGACUGCCGGGGAUAACCCGGAGGAAGGUGGGGAUGACGUCAAAUCAUCAUGCCCCUUAUGAUUUGGGCUACACACGUGCUACAAUGGCGUAAACAAAGGGAAGCGACCUGGUGACAGUAAGCAAACCCCAAAAAUAACGUCUCAGUUCGGAUUGUAGUCUGCAACUCGACUACAUGAAGCUGGAAUCGCUAGUAAUCGCGAAUCAGAAUGUCGCGGUGAAUACGUUCCCGGGUCUU
rnacentral:rRNA from 1 species